ACGUGACUAACCUACCCUCGAGUGGGGAAUAACACCGGGAAACCGGUGCUAAUACCGCAUAACAUCUACGGAUCAAAGCAGUAAUGCGCUUGAGGAGGGGGUCGCGGCUGAUUAGCUAGUUGGUGAGGUAAUGGCUCACCAAGGCGACGAUCAGUAUCCGGCCUGAGAGGGCGCACGGACACACUGGAACUGAAACACGGUCCAGACUCCUACGGGAGGCAGCAGUGGGGAAUAUUGCACAAUGGGCGCAAGCCUGAUGCAGCCAUGCCGCGUGUGUGAAGAAGGCCUUCGGGUGGUAAG
rnacentral:rRNA from 1 species